rnacentral:tRNA from 1 species
GUAGCCUAGUGGUAACGCUUCCGCCUUGUAAGCGGUAUAGAUCGGGGUUCAAAUCCCGGC